rnacentral:lncRNA from 1 species
GAGUUCGAGGCUCAAUCAAAACUCAACUAACUUUGUGCUCGAUCUUCUUGUCAUUACUUAGUUGAGCUCAUUCUUACCGAGUUACUUUCAUUUUCAGAACAUGGAGUUGAACUGAGCUCAACAAUUAGUACAUGACGAGGCUACCAUGGAAAAGUUUAGGAGAGACUAUAAUAUCCCAAAUGACGUUAUGAUAGAGAGGUCGGGGCCUAGGGAAGAGGCUAACACUGUAGAGGAGGAGGGGAAUCGCAUCUCGGUUCGUAUUUUGGUUGAUUCAUCAAGUGGGCCUUAGAUUUCUUAUCAGUCUUUUGUUGAAGGAAGUUAUGGUUCGUUGCGGACUCACUUUCAUGCAAACAUCGGUCAAUUUCACCUGAACCAUGCUCGCGGUGGACACAUUGAUGCAGAGAGAGGGACUACCAUUCGACGCCUCAGACCUGCUACGUGUACUACAUAGUGCGCCCGAGGAGGGAUUCACAGGCACGAAUGUAUACCAGCAAUCACUAUAUUCGACUUUGGAAACCUCAUCAUCCCCAAACGAGAUUGGUAACCGAUGCCCCAAACAAAGACGUGUAUUUGAGUUUGUCUGGGAUUAGGAGAACUGGGAGCUUUGAGCUGAGACGAUGGUCUUUGGUCCUUCCCCAAUAUAAUGGGUGUGUUUCUGCUGGUAAGUCUUUAUACCUAUUGAUUUACCUUAGUUAUGUGGAUUUUAUAGCACUAGUGUAAAUUCAUAUGUUGCUAGUCUGACACUUCUUAUCAUGGUGGACUUAUUUUAAGGUUCAGUAUAGAUUCUGGAAUAGAUCUAAUCAGUGUGUUGCGGCUAUUGAGGCGUUUAACAACUGAGGUCAGAAUUGGAAGGUGGCCGAGAUAUUAAAUUACAUGCCAAUAUACCGCAAUGUCAUUCCCCAUCAUGCUAACAGGCUUGGUCAAGUUAGGCUCCCAAAUUUGCACAUCUGUGAAUGACUUGCCCAGCGUCGUAUGAUUAAUUUGAAGGAGUUAAGCGAGGAGCUUAGUGAGAAUGCUCGUAUUGCCCUGGAUCUUGACUUAGAAGAACAGAAAUAUACCCCUAGAACUUUUAGUUCGAGCUCGCUUGGCCUUUCUACCAGUUCAAAGAAGGUCGAAGAAGGUGAGGAGGUAAAUCAAAUUGUAGCUGUGGAAGUUGUGGUUGUGGUUCCUGAAGUCGCUAGUCUUGCUCUAGCUCUCGCUGUUGGUCCCAUUCUGGUAUAGAGUUCUGACUCGAAAGUUUCAAACGAUCUUAACUUUCCCUUGGUUCAACUAGUGGCUGAGGACUUGAUUGAGCAUUCUUUUACCAAUGGUAGUGGUGUUGAAACUAUCUCAGAGGUGGCGUACAUGGCUCAAAAACCUAGGGCUCUCCGCAAGAAGAACCCAAGGUAGUGGAUCCUCCCAUCGGGGUUUAGAUUCCUCUUCCUGUCCAUGUGACCCAAUUCUAGCUCUCCCUGAUCCAAUUAAGGUAGAGCUAAGUUUGCCAUCCUCCCACCUUCUCAAAAAAUGCAAGGGGAAGGCGCCUGACGUAGGUCCUUUUGAGAGAAAAAAACAUAGGGGGGUUGGAAGCUCGGUUGGGACCAUCAGUCCCUUCGACACUCCUGAGCUGUGGAACCCUAAGUUUGCCGUUGUUGAGCUCAAGAGGCAGGAUACCAUGGCCGACACUUUGAGGGACCACGAAAAAUGUUUGGCCUUGGGGUAGAUCGUUAAGCUCUCGCAAGAUAUGGCCCAUCUAUCUGUUAAGGAUUCAGCAGAGUUCGUCGAUCGAUUGAUAAUGCAGCAUGUCCAGGUAAGGGGUUUAGCUUUAUCCUAGUUUGUCCUUGCUUGUCGAACAAUUAGCUUUCUGACGACGUUUUGUUUUUUUCGGGAGAGCCUCCAAAGGACCGUGGCCAGCUCGGUGGGAAUGAAGAAGUAUUCUUCUAAUGCCAAGAAGGCUUUAAAGAAAACCUACAAUUUGGAUUCUGAUCUGAAGAGCCAGGGAAAAGCUCAUUGUUGAGGAGGCCGCUCGCUAGUCUAGCAAUGUUGCUGCUACCAAGUAUAAGCUGGAGGUUGAUGCUGUCCAAGAGAAAUUUCACAAGGCUCUACAGGAUUUAGUCGAGUUCUAGAGGGUAGCCAUUGACUCGGUGUAUGAACGAGUUUUUAAUCGUGGUUACAGUCAGGAUGAUGACUUUAUAAGAGGUAAGUGGCUGAACUUUGCCCACGCAUUUUUCACAAAGGCUGACUUAUUUAUCUGAAGGAGCUCGGUACUCCCUUAGAUCAUCCGGCCUAGACUACAGCAGCCCCGUAUGUGGAGCUCCCGGAUUUUCCUAAAGCUUAUUCGCCUUUGAUUCUGUUGGGCUUCAACAAAGAGGAGUACAUGAACCAGUCAACAGAGGAAGGAAAUAAGAACGCAGCUGAAGUGAAUGGCGUUGGCAUAGGCUCAGGCCUGAAGGAGAUAUAAAGGGGGUUGGAGAAGAUCAGGUCAUCCCUCCAAAAGUGUAACUGACGUUUACUUCCUCGAAGG